rnacentral:lncRNA from 1 species
GGUCAAAGUUUUACUAAUUUGAAAUACACUGAUACAUUAACUCCUACUUAUUUGGAAGGAUCAAUUCCAUCUUAACUCACAUACUGAUUUUGCAAGUACUUGACUAUGCCCAAAAAUUUUUCAUCACUGAAUUAAAAAUUCAGAUAGUCUGGUAUCAAAGCAUAGUGAGUUGCUUGUAAGUCACCAUGGUGAUCUCAGGUC